rnacentral:tRNA from 1 species
GCCUUCGUGGUGUAGUGGUCAGCACGCUCGACGCGUAACCGAGAGGUCCGCGGUUCGAUUCCCGGCGAAGACG